rnacentral:rRNA from 1 species
CCUACGGGUGGCAGCAGUGGGGAAUAUUGCACAAUGGGGGAAACCCUGAUGCAGCGACGCCGCGUGAGCGAUGAAGGAUUGCGGUAUGGAAAGCUCUAGCAGCAGGGAAGAAAAUGACGGUAACUGACUAAGAAGCCCCGGCUAACGACGUGCCAGCAGCCGCGGUAAUACGUAGGGGGCAAACGUUAUCCGGAUUUACUGGGUGUACAGGGAGCGUAGACGGUCCUGCAAGCCAGAUGGGAAAGCCCGGGGCGCAACCCCGGGACUGCCUUUGGAACUGUAAGGCUAGAGUGUCGGAGAGGCCGUCGGCAUUCCUCGUGUAGCGGUGACAUGCGUAGCUCUUAGGAGGACCUCCCGUGUCGACGGCGGCCUGCUGGACGAUGACUGACGUUGAGGCUC